UCCCUCAAAAUUCUUAAUUUCAGCUUCUCUCUCUUGAAAUUUCUCCUCUUUCACCAUUGGGCGGUUCAUCAGAUCUUCAACUGUGGUUUAGGGUAUUUUUUUUCCUUCUUCAAUGUUUUGAUUCUUUUCUUCUCUUUUGGCCUAUGAUUUAGAACAUUUGUCCGUACCAUCUGAGAAGUAUUUCGAUGGAGUAUACAAUCAAAUUCUACAUUCUGAGGCCUUCGAUAUGUUCUUUUCCCAAAUGCGUUUUAGAUUUGUUUUUGGUUUGACUUUCUUCUAUUGGAAGGCAAUAAAUUAGAGUCUCUGAUGCGCUUCUAAUAUUUCGUAGCGUUUUCAGCGCUGUACGUUGCCGACAAUGAUCUUUGGGAGAUGAGAUUCUGGCAUUUGCUUCCUUUAUGAUGCUUAUGCAUUCAGAUUUUCCCACAUUCUAUAUUCUCUUGUAUUGUUUUUUUUAUUUGAUUGUUGUUGUUGAUUUGCAUGAUGAUUUGGUAAUGAGUCUGUGAUGAUACAUUUAAGGCUUGUUUCUCAAAACAUUCGCAGUGGCCGCCUGAGAGCUUUCGCCUUCGCCAGGCUUGAGAGCUUCUGCUGUUCUUAUCCUUCCUUGGAUGUCUGAGGCUCUAUUUAAGAGUUCUACUUCUAGUUUCUCGACGAUUUAAGUUUUUGUUUUAUAAUGCCUGUUCGCCCUUCAAAACCCCCUAGCGACUAUUUUUGGGCUUUAGACGAGUUUAUGUAUUACUGAUCAUUGCUGCUUGGAAAAUCUUAUAUACAAGUACUAUUGCUUUUAUUUGAAUUCUUGGUUUCAUUUGCUUUUCACCUAUCAUUGGAGAAUCAUUGAACUGUUGGUUCUGCUAUUAACUUAUAUUUUAACCUCAUUUAGACUUGUUAUAUGAGAAUCCUUGAAUUGCAUUGUCUGUUUUGAACUUCUGUUGUAUUUUCAUUUCCUGUUGUCGGUGGAGUACUUUUGAACUGUUGGGUCUGUUCUGGACUUGUUUGUAACUUCAUUUCCGUUUUCCAUUGGAAAUCAUUAAAUAUUUUCCAUCUGUUCUUAACUUAUCUUGAUACCCCAUUUCCCCGGUUUUGUUUCCCUUUUUCAAGGGCCUUCUGGUGGUAUCUAAGAUUCUCCAUGCUCUAUGUUCAGUUUGAUAUUUUGAUAACAAUGAUGAUAUCUUGAAGGCUUGUUUCUCAAAACAUUCGCAGUGGCCGCCUAAGAGCUUUCGCCUUCGCCAGGCUUGAGAGCUAGUGCUGCUUUAUCCUUCCUUGGAUGUCUGAGUCUCUUUUAACUCCUUUGGAAUUACUUUUUAAUUUUGUAUCUUUGUGUUGACAUUUUUCGAAGCGUUGCUUCUCCCAAUAUAUGCUGCUGCCUUGUCAUAAAGCUCUUGCCUUUUUUAUGCUCGAGCGCUUAAUGCUGCCAGCUUGGAAUGUCUGAAACAGAUCUGUAUAUUCUUGCUUUUUUAUUAUUCAAUCUUCAUCCUUCUAUGAAUUUUUAUGAAGCUUGUGGAAAACUUUUGAAGUAAAUGAUCCGAAAUAUCGCUUUUUUGAUGUAAUGUUUUGUUGUUGAUGGAUGAAACAUCGUGAUGGGGGUGCUUCCCAGGUUAUAAGCGGCAGGAACAUCCCAAAGGUUGUAUUCUUCAUCAAGGCCAAGGAGGACUUGUUAGAUUAGAGCUCUUGUCAACAUAGGGUUGCUUGCUUGUGCAAGGUUGUUAGAGUGCAUCUUCAUCAAUUUGACGUACUCGUUCAUCUUCUGGCUACCUUUUCUUGUCGAUUGAAACGUUGCUUCAGAGGUCGUCUAGAUGAACAUUGGUGGGCAGAGUAUCUGACCUGAAAGGUGUCCUUCGAGCUUGUAGCUUCGGAGGAUUGGCAGUGCAAGUGUCUUCCACAGCAUAAAAUUCCCGUGUCCGAGUUUCAUGGUGGUGAGUUGAUUCAAGAGCUGGUUGAGAGGUGGCGUGGUGAAUUUUAUCGGUUUGGAGGAGGAGCAAUUUCCAGUGAGUGUGGUGUCGGCCAUGAAGCUCUGAUUCCAAUUUUACCGAUUUGGGAAUUUUCUCAGUCCUUUGGACUUCUACCUUUUGUUUCUUUUUGUAUUGAAUGAAUAAUGAAUACCUACAGCCCUAUUUCCUUUAUACACAUCUUGCCCUAAUAUGGUUACAAAAUAAUAAUAAUACAAGGAAUAAGAAUAACUAUUUUCAACUAAA